rnacentral:ncRNA from 1 species
UGUUCCGAGGGGGGCCCCAUGCCGGGGCUGAGAGUGGGCAAGCGCCCUGACCCUUGAACCUGAUCCGGCUCGUACCGGCGGAGGGACGGGA